rnacentral:lncRNA from 1 species
AAGUAUCCCAGUGUACGAGUGGCCUUAGAUGUUAUGUGAUCAAUAUGAGUUUUCCAGGAUAGAUUGCUGGCAAUGUGAACCCCCAAGUAUCGAUAUGACGUUACACAUUCUAGUGGGAUAUUAUUUAGCGUAUAGGUGGGGCAGAUCACGUUAGUACAAGAAAUCCUCAUAGUCUUACACUUUCUAAUGUUUAAUUCCAUGCGCCACGUACGACACCACUCAUUUAUGUUAUUGAGAUCCUCCUGAAUUAGUAGAAUAUCUGAAGAAUUAGUUAUUUUACGAUACAAGACGCAGUCAUCCGCAAAUAGACAAAUGUUCGAGGAAACGUGAGUGGGCAAGUCAUUAAUAUAAAUUAGGAAUAAUAAAGGACCGAGCACAGACCCUUGCGGGACGCCGGAGUCAACUGGGGCUAAAGAACUUCUGCAAGAUUAUCGGGGCCGGGGUUGCUUUCAACAUCCCCACAAAGAAGAAGCAGCAAGGAGCAAAAAGGCAAUAGGACGGCUUCAGGGCACGGAAGCACGAUAGCGAAUGGAUCAUCUGAUCUGAAGCUACGACAAG